AAUGAGGCCGAUGCAUUGUAGGGAAGCCAGACCUGCACCAAAAUGUUGGGGCAUUAAAGUAAGAACCUUAAAUGGGUGCCUAUAAUGGACUUAUUAUUAUAUCAGAAGCAGAUACAUCAGAGAGCACUCUUAAGGCAGUUCCAGCCACACCGGCCUCCUUGCGAUUCCUAGAACACGCCAAGCAUAAACGCAACUUAGGCCUUUGCCCUAGCUUCUCUCUGUGCCUGAAAUAGUCAAUUCACCUGCUAUCUUCUUGGCUGGCUCCAUACCUUUUGAGUCUUCUCUCAAAUCUCAGCUUGUCAAUGAGGCUCACCCUGGCCAACCUGUUUAAUAAGGCAGGCCUGCCCUUCAUUGUGGCCCUUGACUAUUCCAGAAUUACUAACAGUUACAAAAAACACAAACAUUUAAAACAAGUCUCAUUAGCUCUCACUGGCCAGGCUUGGGAUCCACGCCCAUCCCUGGGACCAAGAAAGAAGGCAAUUCAACUCAAACCACAUGGAUGGAGAAUGGGAAAGCGGUUUUCCAAGGAAGAUUUGUGUGUAUUCACUAAAAGAAGAGAGAGUGAAUGCUAGAAAGAGAAAAAUUGCAAUUGUCUGCUACAACACAUAAUAAGAAAAAAAAUUUGACUUGUAAUACAAGAUAUGUCUUCAUUGGCAAUUUGAAAACAGAUUUUAAUUGAAAGAAGAGAAAAAGCUGAGCAUCUGAUUAAACUACUUUCUUAAAAUUGUGUAGUCAUGGCUUUUGUGCUCUCAUUUUUGAGGCUAUUAGCCAAAUGAAUACAAUUUUCUGUGUAGCAUCACCCCCAAAAUCAUGUAUUAAACGAAAUACAUCAAAUGUCAUUUAUAUACUAAUUUAUUAGUUUACUUCCUUUUUAAGCUUUAUUGAGGUAGAAUUGACAAAUAAAAUUGUAAUAUAUUUAAAGUGUACAUAG
rnacentral:lncRNA from 1 species